AGUGAACGCUGGCGGUAGGCCUAACACAUGCAAGUCGAACGGCAGCACAGUAAGAGCUUGCUCUUACGGGUGGCGAGUGGCGGACGGGUGAGGAAUACAUCGGAAUCUACUUUUUCGUGGGGGAUAACGUAGGGAAACUUACGCUAAUACCGCAUACGACCUACGGGUGAAAGUAGGGGAUCUUCGGACCUUGCGCGAUUGAAUGAGCCGAUGUCGGAUUAGCUAGUUGGCGGGGUAAAGGCCCACCAAGGCGACGAUCCGUAGCUGGUCUGAGAGGAUGAUCAGCCACACUGGAACUGAGACACGGUCCAGACUCCUACGGGAGGCAGCAGUGGGGAAUAUUGGACAAUGGGCGCAAGCCUGAUCCAGCCAUACCGCGUGGGUGAAGAAGGCCUUCGGGUUGUAAAGCCCUUUUGUUGGGAAAGAAAAGCAGCAGGUUAAUACCCCGCUGUUCUGACGGUACCCAAAGAAUAUGCACCGGCUAACUUCGUG
rnacentral:rRNA from 1 species